GGGGGUGUAGCUCAGUUGGGAGAGCACCUGCCUUGCAAGCAGGGGGUCGAGAGUUCGAGUCUCUUAAUCUCCA
rnacentral:tRNA from 1 species